AGAGUCCAAACAGCUGAUAAAAUCCACAAGUAAUCUACACAAUAUUUUCAACUUAAAACCACUGCUUCAGAUCGAGCAGUUUACAGAUGAAAAGAUUCCAAAAAAAAAGUUCUAAAAAACAUGUUGAUGGAUUUUGAUGCGACAGGGGAUGGAAGUUUUUUUUUCGCUGGAGAAAGCAUUAUUAUGGAUUAGGAACUCAUAUUUUGGUCAGAAGCAGCGGUUUAAAGUUAAAAUGCCAUAAUGAUGGAUUUGUUUCUUACAAACAUGCAGCUUUUCACUUCACAAUACGUUAAUCAAUGAACUGGAGUCAUGUGGAUUAUUGUGACUCUCAUUCUGACGGCACCCAUUCACUGCAGAGGAUCCAUUGGUGAUCAAGUGAUGUAAUACUAAACUUCUCCAAAUCUGUUCCAAUGAAUAACAAACUCAUCUACAUUUUGGUUGGUCUGAGGUCUAGACGAUGUGUUAUCAUGCUGGAAGGCCGACCUGCUCUCUUGUGAUCAUCUUUAAUCAUACAGACUCUGUCAUAUUCCAGCUGUAUCAAGUCUUUAAAGUAACAGCGCUCUGUUAGCCUCUCACCCCUGACAGGCUAAUGUAACAAACUCCAGUGACCACAGCUCAUGACAACAAGCACCAGUUUUGUGCUCGGCUGCCCUCCACGGCUACAUAUUACAGCUGCGGCUAAAAGUCCUGUCACGGCCGCGAUUUUGAAAAUAGCAGGAGAAUGAGGAUGACACGAGAGGGGAUGUGCACCCUCUGUCCCCUGUCAUUCUGUGUUAUUGAGAACUUACCGGAAAAAUCACCUGAGGGAAUCAAAGUCCGUCUGGCUUCCGUCACAAUCCACUUAACACAAGCUGAUGGCUCCAACACUGAGGCCUCUGUCUAUUUCCUUCUUCCUUUCUGUUCUACUGUAUCAUUUUUCUUUUCCUUUUCUUUUCUUUUUCCAGCUUUCAAAUAAUUUUUACACUCAAGAAAGGUUUUAUAGUCUCAUGUCACGUGUGUUUGUUGAAAAUGCAAACAAUGUAUUUUAUCAAUAUGCUGAUUUGAACAACCUAUAAUCUGAAAACAAGAACUUUAUAGCAUAAUAUAGCAGCUCAAUAACUCUAUACAGUGAAACAUUGAUCCCGAGGAGAGAGAGAGAGGGAAAGAAUAAUAAAAUCUCUUUAAUAUCUCAAUUUUGUCUCUUAGACACUGAUGAGAGAACAAAUUUAGAACUUUUGCUUUAUUUGUCUAAAGGUUCCCAGAUGUUUCCUAUGUUUCCAGUAAAAACAGUAGUAUUGAAAAACAUUAUUACAACUUAAAAUAACUGUUACUUAAUAUUUUUGUUUAAUAUUCUCGUACUUCUUUGAUGAACAGCAUUUGUUUGUAGUAGAAAUCUUAGCAGUAGAUGUUUUGUAACAUUAUAAAUGUUACAAAACAUUUAUAAUGUAACAAACUCCUGUCACAUUUUAUUAAUUUUAUUAAUUAAGUUUUAGAUUUCAUUCUAAAAAAAUAAAUACAAUUCUGAUCUCAGAUUUCCAAACAGUGGUGCAUUUGUUUGUCAAUGGUUCCAUAGUUUAUUUUCAAAUGAUUUCAAUAUUAAGUCACACAUUUCACAUCAAAUUUCAAUUUCUCAUUCUCAUCAAUCUACUAAUGUUAUCCACAUUCAUUUAAUUACUCUAAACUCUUACCGUGUGUCAAUUAUUGACUGAUUUGUACAAGAAAGAUCUGCGGAAAAGUUGACAAGAUCUCUAUUAGGACUCUUGAGCUGUGAAAGCAAAAUUUGAACAUUAAUUCUCAUGUGGAUGUUGCUGCAAUUAUCUAUUGAAGGACUGUAGGAGUGACAUGCACUAUACUGUUGAGAAUGUGAUUAGACCGAGAAAUCAGCUCAAACCAAAACAAAACAUUUUCUAUCAGGUCUUUUGUCUGUACCUGAGCUCUAUAGACCCGGGUCUGGACUCAGCAGGCCGGCACUGAAGGCAACGCCAGCAGGACUGAGCUGUAAAUAUGAUUCAACUCUCUGGGGAUUAUUAAUUAA